CAGUCAUUCCAUUAGUUUAAUACUGAGUUGUUCAGAAACUUCUCAGUCAGUAACAUGAAGAUCCAUUCCUGAAAAGCACUCAAACUGGACUUGAAUUUUUAAAAAAUGAAGAGUAGAAUUAGCAUAAAAUAUUAAAGAACCUCAUCAUUAAAAUUAUAUAACGAGACACUUACUUGUUUUCAAAUGCAACUGUUAUUGAAUCUUCAUGAACAUCCUUUACAAAUGCCUUGUAGAAAGCGCCAUUGGAGCCCCGCACUUCCACCACCAGCUCCUCCAUCUUCUCUUCAGCCCUGCUAGCGCCGGGAGCCCGCCCCCGAGAGGUGGGCUGCGGGCGCUCGAGGCCCAGCCGCCGCCGCCGCCGCCGCCGCCGCCGCCUCCGCCGCCGCCGCCGCCGCCGCCGCCGCCGCGCUGCCGCACGCCCCCUGGCAGCGGCGCCUCCGUCACCGCCGCCGCCCGCGCUCGCCGUCGGCCCGCCGCCCGCUCAGAGGCGGCCCUCCACCGGAAGUGAAACCGAAACGGAGCUGAGCGCCUGACUGAGGCCGAACCCCCGGCCCGCUGCGGGUGUAAACACUGAAACCACGUCACGUGAUCAACGCUGUUCCCUCCCCCCGCGGGCUCAGCCCCUCGGCCCCGCCCUCUCUCUUCAAGUGGCCUGGGAGCGCGCGCAUGCGCGCUGCUGGGAACCGGCCGGGGUGCCGGGUCGAAAGACAGACGCGCGGGCCGGGCGUGCGCGGGCUUGGUGGAGGGCGGGAAGGCUGAAGGGCGGUGACAGGUCGCACUGCCUCGCGAGGGCCAGAACGCCCAUUUCUGCAGAGCUGCCUUAAUCCAUGUUCCCUUCGGGAUGCUGGUAUCCAACUGAGAAGUUGACGGAGCAUCUAUCGUGUGCCAGACACUGUGCUAAGUGCUAACGAGAAAUCGGUGAGCAAAACAGAAAAGAAAAAAAAAGAAGAAACGACUGCCAGCAUUGAACUUAGUACCUAGCAAAGUAGGUGGACAUAAAUCAAAUUGUCAGACAAGUAAAUGAGUAGUUGCAGCUGUGAUAAGGGGUAUGAAGAAUAGGCGCUUCCAUGAUGGCGGAACAUGACCUAGUCUGGGGUGGAGAAGGGGAGAUGAUUCCAGCUGGAAUAUGGCAGGUGAGAGUUAACUAAUAGCACUGAGUUGGCAGAGGCAGGAUGACCUGCCCCAGGCAGGUGCCCCAGAAUGAGAGGAUGUUGCUGCUGGUGGAACUCCAGCUUUAAAGCGGUGGAUCUAGGGCCACAUUCCUCAAGGCCAUAGCAAACAGGAAAGACCUUUUGGACUAGGGUCUUUGGAGUAGUCACAUGAGGCCAAGAACCCAAUAGGGCUGAAAGAGAAUCUCAUCAUAGGCUGAAUGGGAGCAGAGCAUUAGCUGCAACUCCAAUGUAUUAUAGUAAAAGGGGACACAUUGAUUAGAAUGAUUAUACCCCUCCAAGUGUAAGCUGUUGUUCAAUUUACCCAGGGCUUAAAAAUAUGUCAACUCUUCACAACCAUUUUUACUACAAGCCACACUCAACCUGUGUUGUUCCCUGAACCUGUGAUGCACUUUCAUCCGUUCAUGUCUCUACACAUCCUUCCUGGGCCCCAUAGAGGCCCUGCACCUUAAGGUUUUCAGCUGGAUUCCUAUUAGCUAGUUAUUUUAUCUCAGGUACAGAGAGUUAACUUUGCUCCUCAAUUUUCAGCACAUUGUCAUAUCAGUCCCUACAGGGUCCUUGUUUACAUUAUUUUAUAGUGUUUAUAUUAUUUUUUCCUCAUCUUUCUCGAUCCCCACUCUCAUUCUUCUAGACACAAGCUGCAAUAUGUUCGAUAGAGAUCCUUGAUAAUUUAACACAGAUAAUGUUUUGUUUAUGCCUCUUGCAUUUACAGAGAUGGUAUUGGACUGUAAAUCUCUAUUUCCCACUGUUUUACUCAACAGUCUGUUUUUGAGCUAUACCCACAUUGCUGUGUGUACACCUAGUUUGCUACCGAGUAUGCCAGAAAUUUUAUUCAUACAUAUCCCUACUGAUCGGGCAUCUAGGUUACUGCCAACUCCCUGAAGUCAUACUGUGGUGAAAACCCUUGUGAAUGUCUUUACAAACCUUUGCCAGAACUUAUUUUGUGCUCUUGUAGAACUUUGUGCAUACCCUCUGCUUCCUCAUUACACUGCUUGGCAUAUAGCAGAGACUCAACAAAUGUUGAAUACCUCUACUAUGAUGGUUAGUGUACUAGAAUAAUUUAUUUAUAUUUCUGUUUUCCUUAUUGGAUUAUUAGUACCUUCCAGACAGGGCAAAUGUCUUUUCUAUCUUUGUGUCCCUGGCACAUUAAAAGUGGUUGAUUUCAAGGUAUGUUCAAUGAAUGAAUAAAUACUUAUCUUCACUGCCAGUAC
rnacentral:lncRNA from 1 species